rnacentral:pre_miRNA from 1 species
CGAGGGAGGCCGGAUCCUGGGCUGUGUCCCGGCGCCCUGUGCUCCGGGGCCUGCGCUGGUGGAUUCGCGCUCCCGCCCCGCAGCCCCCU